rnacentral:rRNA from 1 species
GGGUUGUGAGGUUAAGCGACUAAGCGUACACGGUGGAUGCCCUGGCAGUCAGAGGCGAUGAAGGGCGUGCUAAUCUGCGAUAAGCGCCGGUAAGGUGAUAUGAACCGUUAUAACCGGCGAUACCCGAAUGGGGAAACCCAGUGUGAUUCGUCACACUAUCAUUAACUGAAUCCAUAGGUUAA